CAAUAAAGUUGAAUCUAAUCUUAUCUUUAAAUAACAGUUUUCAAAAGAAAUGCAUGGAGCAUCUGCUUUCUUUGUUGUCAUUUUACCACACAUAAUGCCAAAUGUGGCUCAAAUGCAGCAAGAAAACAACAGCAAAAACAAUAAAGCUGUGAAGUGCUAAUGCAUUUAUGAUGUUAAAUUACAUUGACUCUCAUUUUUAAUGGCUACGAGAGCAUGCACUUCUGUGAUAGGGAGGGGUCAAGGCCCUGGGUCUGAUAAACCCUCAUGGCUGUUCAUAUCAGUGGCUCAAGCUGGAGGCUGAAAGGGUGGAAGCUGAAGAGCAGUAUAAUCACCCGUCUCACUCCUGCCCUGCCCUCCUGCCGGCCCAGACCGGACUGUGGCAGCACACAUGACUAAACUAAAUUGAACGACUACGUCUUUAAUAGAAUCAACAUUCUUUUACAUUUUGUGCAAUGUGCAGUUAUGACAGUGGUUACCAGUUACCAGUGGGAACUAGGAUUUACACAAGCUCCAGUCUGGAUCCAGAACACCUGAGAAGAGAUGAUGCUAACCCCUCAAAGAGCCUCAGAUGAUGACCAAACCUGAAACAAUACAGAACUAAAAGAAUUUUCUAUAAUUGCCGUUAAUAGUGUUCAUCGUCCGUUUGAUUACGCCUUUAAUUGAUUUUUCCAUACAUUUCUGCCAAAUGCACAUAAACUGAAAGUCGCCACUGAUAAGCUACUACAAAAUAUAGUAGAAACUUAAUUUUCUGUAAAGUUGCUUUGCAACGAUUUGUUUAGUAAAAAGUGCUAUAGAAAUAAACUUGAAUUUAAUUGAAUUAAACUAUA